ACAGAUGGGAGCUUGCUCCCUGAUGUUAGCGGCGGACGGGUGAGUAACACGUGGGUAACCUGCCUGUAAGACUGGGAUAACUCCGGGAAACCGGGGCUAAUACCGGAUGGUUGUCUGAACCGCAUGGUUCAGACAUAAAAGGUGGCUUCGGCUACCACUUACAGAUGGACCCGCGGCGCAUUAGCUAGUUGGUGAGGUAACGGCUCACCAAGGCGACGAUGCGUAGCCGACCUGAGAGGGUGAUCGGCCACACUGGGACUGAGACACGGCCCAGACUCCUACGGGAGGCAGCAGUAGGGAAUCUUCCGCAAUGGACGAAAGUCUGACGGAGCAACGCCGCGUGAGUGAUGAAGGUUUUCGGAUCGUAAAGCUCUGUUGUUAGGGAAGAACAAGUGCCGUUCAAAUAGGGCGGCACCUUGACGGUACCUAACCAGAAAGCCACGGCUAACUACGUGCCAGCAGCCGCGGUAAUACGUAGGUGGCAAGCGUUGUCCGGAAUUAUUGGGCGUAAAGGGCUCGCAGGCGGUUUCUUAAGUCUGAUGUGAAAGCCCCCGGCUCAACCGGGGAGGGUCAUUGGAAACUGGGGAACUUGAGUGCAGAAGAGGAGAGUGGAAUUCCACGUGUAGCGGUGAAAUGCGUAGAGAUGUGGAGGAACACCAGUGGCGAAGGCGACUCUCUGGUCUGUAACUGACGCUGAGGAGCGAAAGCGUGGGGAGCGAACAGGAUUAGAUACCCUGGUAGUCCACGCCGUAAACGAUGAGUGCUAAGUGUUAGGGGGUUUCCGCCCCUUAGUGCUGCAGCUAACGCAUUAAGCACUCCGCCUGGGGAGUACGGUCGCAAGACUGAAACUCAAAGGAAUUGACGGGGG
rnacentral:rRNA from 1 species